rnacentral:rRNA from 1 species
UACGUAGGGUGCAAGCGUUGUCCGGAAUUAUUGGGCGUAAAGAGCUCGUAGGCGGUUUGUUGCGUCGGCUGUGAAAUCCCGAGGCUCAACCUCGGGUCUGCAGUCGAUACGAGCAAACUAGAGUGUUGCAGGGGAGACUGGAAUUCCUGGGUGUAGCGGUGAAAUGCGCAGAUAUCAGGAGGAACACCGGUGGCGAAGGCGGGUCUCUGGGCAACAACUGACGCUGGAGGAGCGAAAGCGUGGGGAGCGAACAGGA